GUAGGGUGCGAGCGUUAAUCGGAAUUACUGGGGCGUAAAGCGUGCGCAGGCGGCUUUGCAAGACAGAUGUGAAAUCCCCGGGGCUCAACCUGGGGAACUGCAUUUGUGACUGCAAGGCUAGAGUACGGCAGAGGGGGAUGGAAUUCCGCGUGUAGCAGUGAAAUGCGUAGAUAUGCGGAGGAACACCGAUGGCGAAGGCAAUCCCCUGGGCCUGUACUGACGCUCAUGCACGAAAGCGUGGGGAGCAAACAGGAUUAGAUACCCUGGUAGUCCACGCCCUAAACGAUGUCAACUGGUUGUUGGACGGCUUGCUGUUCAGUAACGAAGCUAACGCGUGAAGUUGACCGCCUGGGGAGUACGGCCGCAAGGUUG
rnacentral:rRNA from 1 species